GUCAUCCCCUUCAGGAACAACCACGUUCACCCGGGGAAACACCACCAAUGCUUCAGAGUUUCUAGACCCUUGGAGAUGGGAGGCAACCGGCAGGACCUGAAUCCAAAAUCCAGGGAGAAUGGCCCUGCGAAGGGUUGCUUGGUCUGAGGCUGAAGUUGGAUGCUUGCCAGUUUCUCAGGGUAUCUCACCCGUAACACAAAGGAGAACGUCUUGUGGGUCGGUGACAUUGGUGAAGAUCGUCUCGCCAGUCCGUGAGUGGUUUUUGUGCUCGUGCGUAAACAUCCAAAGGCACGGAUCAGUUCUCUCGGCCUUCCUUGAGACCUUCUCAAGGCCUCAAAAAGCACCUCGCACAUCCUAGGUGCUGAAUACAAGAACGGAUGGUGGCAGAGACAGGACCCCCUGACCACCCAAGUUUGCGUCAUUCGCCUCAUCACGCAAGGAAGCUACAUUUCCCAGCCUUCUUUGCAACGGGGGCCGUGCCACUGAGUUCUGGCCAAUGGGGUGUGGACAAAAGAGACCGUGCUCCUUUCCGGACUGGGCCAUAAAACCCACGUGAGGUCUCCUCGUUCGAGGGUCAGCAAACUUUUCCUUCGGAGACUGCAAAUAUUUUGGGCUUUUUGGACUACGCAAGCUCUGGCACAACGACUCAGUCCGGCCAGUGUGACACGGAAGAAGCCAGAGUCGGUCUGUAAAGGCAUGAGCAGGGCUGUGUUCCAAUAAAACUUUAUUUACAAAAAGAGGUGGUGGGCUGGAUUUGGCCCACAGGCUAGAGUUGGCUGACCCUGUUCUAGUCUUUCCCUCCACCGUUCACGGAGACCUCGGGGGGCCAAGUGUGGGAAACGGUGGCACGGCCAAGACC